AGGCAUACUCAGUUUCUAUAUAUUUUAGUCCUAUUUUCAAAACUCAAGAGGAAUUACAUACCAAGAUUUUGUUUACACUCUACACACCAUGAGACAUACCACUUUCAAUAUUAUGCUACUGCUUCUUUUUCUUCUCGUUAUAUUCAGAUUUGAGUUUUGUUACUCAAAUAAUAAUUCAGCUGCAGGUUGCCUUGAAGGGGAGCGGAUUUCUCUUCUCCAAUUCAAGAAAAGCCUGGUUGAUAGAUCAAAUCGUCUCUCCUCGUGGACCGGUCUUGAUUGUUGUAAAUGGGAGGGAGUGUCUUGUAGCUCAACAACUGGCCAUGUCCUAAAGCUUGAUUUACAUAACCUGCAAGCAACAUAUGAUGAUUAUAUUGGGAAGUACUGCAACAAUUGCUUGGAAGGUGAGAUAAAUCAAUCUCUUAUCAACUUAACACAUUUGGAUUACCUUGAUCUAAGUUUGAACAAUUUUUCUGGAAUCAAAAUUCCUGAAUUCUUGGGAUCCUUCAAAAACUUGAAGUAUCUCAACCUCUCGAGUUCGGGUUUUGUGGGAAGCAUUCCAACUCAUCUUGGAAAUCUUUCAAGUUUAGAGCAUCUCAAUCUAGGGACAUCAUUACUUGGGUCUUAUAAUGCUUUGACUACAGAUAAUUUGAACUGGCUGGCUAGCCUUUUUUCUCUAAAAAGCCUUGACAUGUCUGGGAUUUCCAUUUGUCGUGAUGAAAAUUGGUUGAGCACAAUCAACAACCUCAUGUCUUUAUCUUCUUUAAACUUAGAAAAUUGUGACCUUAACACAACCAAUCCUCCUUCCCAUGUUAACUCCACUUCCCUCAUCUCUCUAGAUCUCAAUAGAAAUAGUUUGGAUUCCACAGUCCUUCCAUGGUUGUCGAAUCUCACAGGACUUGAGCAUCUCAAUUUAUUUGGCAACCAAUUUAUAGGCAAACAAAUUCUUUUGUGUAAGUUGCUCAAUUUGGUAUCAUUAGAUCUCGGUGCGAACCAUUUUAAUGGUUUAAUUCCCAAUUGUUUUGGAAACUUGACUUCUUUAACUUCUCUCAGUUUAAGAGAGAAUAGCUUUACAGGUUCAAUUCCGAAUAGCUUAAGUCAUCUUUGUAGCUUGCAAUUCCUUGAUGUCUCUGAAAAUAAGUUGACAGGUUUCAUUAGAGUUCCAUCUGACUGCCCCUUCUAUAGAUUGAAAGAUUUGAUCUUACAAGAUAACAAUUUCAAAGGUGAAAUUCCAAAUUGGUUGUACAAGUGUAAGAAUCUGGAAAGUCUUUCUCUCUAUUCAAAUUCCUUCUCUGGUCCAAUAGCAGAUUCAAUUGGGAACUUGUCAAUGUUAAAUGGGUUGUUUAUUGGUGGUAAUAAGUUUACUGGUAGCGUGCCUCCAAGUAUUGGAGAACUUUCAAACCUUGUAGGUUUAGAUAUAUCAGAUAAUCUUUUUACUGGUGUUGUCUCAGAAUCCCAUUUUUCAAAACUUAGUAAGCUCAUCCAAUUGAACAUAUCUUCAAAUUUAUUUGUUUUGAAUUUAAGUUCCAAUUGGGUUCCUCCAUUUCAACUCCAAGGAAUUUUCAUGGAAUUCGUCAAAAUUGGACCACACUUCCCUCAUUGGCUUCGUACUCAGAGACGUGUUCAAUUCUUGAUCAUGUAUAAUGCAAGUAUCUCAGAUGUUAUCCCUGAUUGGUUUGAAAGAUUUUUCUGGAAUUGCGAUGAUAUAGAUCUUUCUAAAAAUGAUAUAAGUGGAGAACUUCUCACAAAGUCUAAUGGUGAAGGUUACAAGAAAACGUUAAUUUGGUUUCUUCAUCUUUCAACAAAUCAUUUGACUGGUGAAAUCCCUAAGUGGUUAUGCAGUUUAAAAGAUUUACAACUGCUUGAUCUUUCUACAAAUAAAUUUUAUGGAGAGAUACCACCAUGUUUAGGGAAAUUACAAAAUUUGGAAGUUCUUGAUUUGGCAAAUAACAAUCUAUAUGGUCAAAUUCCGAAUUUGUUUGGAUCUCUAUAUUCCUUGAAAUCUUUGAGCCUGCGAAACAACAGACUUGAAGGUGAACUCCCUUUAAGUUUGCAAAAUUUAAGGGAUUUGAUAUUGUUGGAUUUAAGUGAAAAUGAAUUAGUGGAUGUUAUCCCCGCAUGGAUUGGAGAAAAGUUAUCUAAGUAUAAGCUUUCUUAUACUUCAUGCAAAUCAUUUUUAUGGGGAUAUUCCGCUACAACUUUGUCAAUUACCUAAUCUUCAAUUGUUGAGCUUGGCACAUAACAACAUAUCUGGAUACAUCCCUCAGUGUUUUGACAACCUAACUCAAAUGAUUUCUGAAAGACCAUUAGAUCUUUAUUAUGAUGAAGCGGGUGGUGGAAGCGAGUAUUACAAUGAAAUUUAUGAAGAUAUAAAAGGAUUAACAUUGCAGUACAAUAAGACCCUUCCAUUUUUGAUAUCUAUAGACCUUUCUGGGAAUCGCUUAACUGGAAUGAUCCCAGUGGAGUUAACAAGGUUGCAUGCCAUAAAGAAUUUGAAUCUUUCUGGAAAUCAUUUAAGUGGGGCUAUUCCUAAGAGUAUUGGUGACUUAAGAAAUAUUGAGUCUCUUGAUUUAUCAAGGAAUGCAUUAUCUGGUCCAAUUCCUCUAAGCUUAUCAUCUCUAAGCUUUCUAAGCUACUUGAACUUGUCAUUCAACAACUUAUAUGGAAGAAUACCAAUGGGAAAUCAACUUCAGACCUUGAAUGAUCCAUCUAUUUACAUUGGCAAUGAAGGCCUUUGUGGUGCCCCACUACUUCUAAAGAAUUGUCCAGGUGAUGUACCAUCUUUUGUUGGUCAACCUACAGAAACUAGUAGCAGUGAUGAUCAUGAGUUUUUCAUGUGGUUCUAUGCUGGUAUGGGACCUGGAUUUUUUGUUGGAUUUAUUGGAGUGCUAAGCAUUUUAUUAUUCAAGACGUCUUGGCGUCACGCGUACUUCAAAUUCUUGGGAAUGGCUUACAACAAAAUAUUAUGCCGGUGUUGAUACCUAAUGCAAAUGCAGAGAAGUGAUUGUGGGCUAGCUUGUCGUACUUGUUUGCAUUGAUUUUAUUAGGGUUUAGAUUAAGUUAAAAGAGAAGCCGAUUAUCUCAUUUAUAUGUUAUAGGUGGUGAUCUUAUUUGUUGUUUAUGUGUUUUGGACUACCUUUUAUGGUAAUGCUUUUGUUUUGUUUUUUGUAUGUUGCUUCUUAUCUAAUGAAGGUUGUAGUGAUGAGAUUUGCAGUUGAUGUUUGUCUUGAGCCAUAUGCAUGUAAUUUAUUAUCGCAUUCAAUGUCAUCUGAACUGUACCCCUAAUGAUGUAAUGCAUACUCAUAUUGUGAUAUAA